GGUCCCAUCGUCUAGAGGCCUAGGACGCCGCCCUCUCACGGCGGCAACACGGGUUCGAAUCCCGUUGGGACUACCA
rnacentral:tRNA from 2 species